AGUAAAUUGAAGUACAUUUAUGCACUGAACAAAGGCUGAGAGAAAUUCUAUAAAAAUAAGAAACUAUGAUGGAACAGCACACAGCUUUUCAAGAUUUUUAUAUAUGCAUUAUUAAAUUUUUAGACAGUUUCACACACAUACAAAACAAAUACUGACCACUUCCAGCCCUCACCUGCCCCACUACUGUCUAUCCCGCUCACGCACAAUAUAUUAUCUGUAUGUGCGUGCAUGCGUGUACAUGGGCAUGUGUAGCACGUGUGGCAUAUCUGUGCAUGUGUGGAUGCACCUGUACACAACACACACGUGUGGGGGUUAGAGGACAACUGGAGAUCAAACUCAGUCCUGGGGAUCAAACUCAGGUGGUCAGACUUGCUGAGGUGAAGGCAGGUUUAAAGGAGUCUACAAAUACCCAGAUAAAGAAUAAAAGGAAUUUAUUUGGUAUGUUAUUUGAGGAACGCUCACACAAUGAUAGUCUUCCUGCUCUUUUAGAUGCAGCCUCUGCCCUUCUUGAUGCUCUGGAUGCUUUGACCACACCCAAGAGAGCAUGAGCCAGCCCCUCUUCUUCCUUAUAAGGGGUCAUGUCUGCACAUCUGAAGUCACACCCUAAGGUGUGGCCACCACCCACGUCUACUAGCGGAACAAGAUGCCACUACAGGUAGGUACCUUUACCCACUGAGCCGUCUUAUGAACCCCUUUUUCACUUUUAAAAGUGAUUUCUGUUUUGUAGGUUAGAUGCCACAUACACCAACCACCGUUUUAUACUGUUCACAUUGCAGAUGGAAAAUGAAUGAAGAAAUAAACAAAUCUUGGUAGAUGAAGAAAGACUCUCAGGGGUUGCUCACCUGCCCUGUGGUAUCUACAUCCGGCAGAUGGCCCAUGGCUAGCACAGCUGAAACCUGACAGAGCCCUCUCCUGACUGGUAUGGAUUUCCUCACUCACCCUGAAGUGGCCUUGUGUGCCUGGUCUUUAGUGUCUGCUCAGGAUUCCCAAGACUUCCAAGAAAUCAGAAGUGGGAGUAGAUAAUCUAGGCUUGGGCCAGGACACUUGGAGACACCAUUUCUAGCACCCCAGAUUGCUGGAAGAGCCUACCAGUAGUCGGUCAGAGGAGGGCUGUCCCUCUCAGAGGCAAAGUCUGUACCUGGUUUUGGCUAUCCACAGCUGUGGGCUCAGGACAUGCUCAGCUGUAAGAAGUAAACGCCCACCUUGGACCAACAAAAACAUAGAGGUACCAAUUGUCUUAGGGAAAUGCAAAGGCCUGGCUGCAUGUGACCUCAAGCCCUGGCUGGGGUUUAGGUAGAACAGCAGGAAACUGGGCACACAUUUAAUCCCAGCACUCAGGAGGCAGAUCUUUGAGUAUGAGGCCAGCUUGGUCAACAGAGUUCCAGGACAACUAGGGAUACACAGAGAAAUCCUGUCUCAAAAAAACAAAACAAAGAUGGGGCUGUGGUGGUACAUGCCUUUAAUCCCAGCACUUGGGAAGCAGAGGCAGGGGGAUCUAUAGAGCUAGUUCCAGGACAGCUAGGGCUGUUAUAUAGAGAACCCUGUCUUGAAAAAAAAAAAAAGAAAGAAAGAAAGAAAGAAAAAGAAAAACAAACACAAAAAAGUCAACCAAACAAAAUACAUAGCAUAGUACAUAAUAGCACAGUCUCUCACUUGUCUCUCUCUCUCUCUCUCUCUCUCUCUCUCUCUCUCUCUCUCUCUCUCUCUCUCUCUCUCUUUCUCUCUCUCUCUCAGCUCUGUGUCCCUGUGUGGCACAAAGAUGGUAGCAGCAGCUCCAAGCUCUGACCAAGAGGACAGAGCCUGAGGGAAUAGAUGAGUGUCCGGGUGUGAUUCUCCUAGGUCUGAGUUAUGUCCCUAUCCUCAGCUAAUGCAUCUUGCUCCACCAGGCUGGGGGUUUGGGGGAACAUGGGUGCUCUGCACUGAGUCCAAAGUGGAACCCCUGUGUGCUGUAACAACCAGUCCUGCACCUCAGUCUCCACAGGUGGCCUGACCUCUGGCCCUACACUGAGCCUUGGAUUUUUGUUUACUUUCAUCCCAGGUCUUGUCUCUGGCCUGAUCACCAGCCUUAGGCUGCCUAUACCCUGGGAAAUCCUAGGCACUGUUCUGCCCUGGAAGCUGCAAGCCCUAGGACCCUCCUGAUCCCUCUAUGCCCUCCUCUCCCAACUGAGCAAGAAGUGGACUAGGAAGGUAACACCCAUCACCUGGGGAAAGGGAUGAACCUUGUCAGACCUCUUUUUAUAUUGAGUCCCUGAGCUCUUGUGAGAGCCUUCUCCUCAGACCUCCUCGUGGCCAUUGCUGUGCCUACUGCUUUUUUUUUUUUUUUUUUUACCUCGCCUCUAACUGCUGCACACAGUGUGGCUGCAUCCACUUUUCUUCUACUCCAUGGCUCCCACUUUCUAGAGGAAGGCCUGAAUAUUAGAAACCAUAUCCCCUCCCAAUUCCUACCAUAAUCUGAAGAUUUAUUAAUCUAUAUGAUGAGUCAGGUCUGGCUGCUUCACUGUAUUGGUAGGUGGGGCAAAGUUGAAUAUGAACAGCCAGGGACCUUUAUAGUACGGCUGUGUGUCUCCUUUAAAUGUUGCUUGCAUGAAAACAAGUCAGAAGGCCCCAGUGAUGGAAGGGAAGUCAAAACUAACACAACCACUAGUACUCAGUGUCUUGGUGAGAGACACACCCUGACCCCCGGGGUGGGGAUGGGCUGGCAUCAGGUGCUCAGAGGAGGUUCUGCAGAACUCCAGCAUUCCUUCACCACUGCAGGAACUCAGGCACAAAGUAGCCGAUCUUGAAGUGUUCCACAAGAAGCAAGACAUGAGAUUCUUUAUAUGAGAUAUCCCUCUCCAGAGUGCUGGCAGACAUUUGUCUGCCAACUUGACAAGCCAGGCUCACAAAAUGCUUUCAAAGGCAAGCUCACACACAAGGCAACAGUCCAUGAUCCUGGAGGGAGGACUGUGGAGGCAGAACCAGAGGCUCAGAGUGGGAAAGAAAGUUGCAUAAGGCUGCCCAGCUGGGAGGGUGUGUAGAUAGUGUGGGAGGGGUGUGGAUGGUGGGGGGUGUGGAUGGUGUGGGUGGGGGGUGUGAAGGGAGGGGUGUGUGUGGAUGGUAUAGGAGGGGCUAGACGGUGUGUGGAUGGUGUGGAAGGAUCCCCACUCAGCUCGUCUUCCAGGACAGUGCUGAGGAAGCUGCUAGAACCUGAAGGUAGCUCCCAGUAUUCCUGGCCAAGACCUCUCCCAAUGCUCCCACUCCCGGGAUGGAGCCUGCUGAGUUCCACCUGGCAGCAUGUGGCCCCAGCUUCACAGUCAGCAAGGGACCAAGGCCAGGGCUGAUCUGCCUGAUUAACCUAAAUCAAGAGUAAGGUCUCCUGUGGCUCAGGCACCACCACCACCCAGGACCUGCUCUAAGAGAGCAGGGUGGGGUGAGUUUACCUUCACUGCGGGUGCAGAGGAGUCAGUGCCCUGUAGUCCCCUUCAGAUGGGGUAGGUGGGCGAUGACCCCAGGGCAGGAGUGGCUUCUGAGUAACUCUUGUAACUCACAGCUAGUGAGUAUCCUAGGUUCCAUGAAGACAGAGCUGGGCAACCUGGCCCAUGGGGCUUACCCCUCUGGUCCUCAACCAGUUCUUAACGUUGUGAUAAUCCCAGCCAGUCAGAAUUCCACCUCUCCGCCAUUGUCCAGAACAUCACAGACUUCUAUUGAGAAUUGUUAUUAGAAAAUUCGUUAGAUAAUAUGAAAUUGACUAUCAAGCAGAGGCGGCAUAGGGGAGAGGAGAACAACUUCUGUCUGAUGGUGACAUUUGAUCACAAGCUGAUGUCUCUGGGUGGAAGAACCAGCAGACACAGGGAGACAGGUUUCCUGUCCAGAGAACCCAAAGGCCGUGGUUCCUGGAGGAAGGAGGAAGGAAACUGGGCCUGGGCCAGCAAGGCUUCUACCAGGGUUGCAGGGAGAUCGGCUUUUAUUCUUCAUUCAGUUGCCAACAUGCGGUGGCCUUUGGAAGUCCGCCCCUGUCGACUUACCUGCCUGUUCAUCCCUCCAGCAAAUGGUUUGGGGGUACUUACUGUGUGCCAGCUUUUCCCUAGGGGUCGCCCAAGCCACCACACAAAGCCACAGCCCUGGGCACCUGCAGGCUCUCACGCAGCGCGCCGGGUGCUCGCGGCCGCCAGGUGGCGCUCUGCACCCGCGAACGGGCCGCGCCACGGGGGUAGCCCGCUCCGGCUGCGGAGGAGGAGGAGCGGCCGGAGGCGGGGCUCACGCCGCAGGUUGUGUGACUUUGGGUUUGACCUGCCUGGAGAUGAGCUAAUCCCGCUGUAUAAUAGACUCCGGGGAGAUAGGAAAAUGGCCGCGCGCUAUCUGCGUCGCCAUGGGGACCAUCGCGCGCGGGCGGGGCACGGGCCUGGAAAAAUACAGCCUUUGUGGCGGCGCGUGUCACUCACGGCCGGGACCUCGGGCGGCGGGCUGGGCUCUGUCGUCCCAGCUGCAAUGCUUUGGCAGAGGGGCCCCUGGGCCAGGACCAGGACCCCUGGGCAUUCUCAAAGUCCCCAAACAGCCGCUGGCCCGGUGUCACUCUCCAGCACUCUCGGGACCGGGCGCACAGCGGUCGGUCUCUUCCUCACAGCCAAUGUCCAACCCCGAGUCUGCACAACAGAGGCUCGAGCAAGGCCCGAAACCGGACCUUCCUUUCGCGCAUCUCUGGGCACACGCGGUAGUCCUGGGUGCACACUGCCCCACAGAUCCGUGCGGGUUCCAAAAGCCUGUGCCACUGGCUCAAACGCCGGCUACUGCGUCCACCCCGUGUGGAGUGAGGCCUGCACGUGAUACACAUAACAUUCCUGAGUGGCUGAAAACCCCUCUGUUCCGCACCACUAACAGCAUCCUCCGGGGCCAGGUACCUGUAGGCCCUCACAGUGAAUUCGCUCGUGCACGCGGCCAGCACACCCAUUGCAUGCUUCCCCGCGCGGUCACGUGCAGCACCGCUUACCGCGUGCGUCUCGGCGGCCACAUCCUGGCACUCGCCACGAACACUCACCACGCGUGUGCUCAGGGGCUCGCACACGUGCACUUUGUCGAGGCACACUUACUCGCACACUCACAUUCUUGCUUGCUGAGGGUCCACUCGCUGGCAUACCCACGUGUUCCUCCAAACACACCGGGCAGAGCCGGGGCGCACACUCGCCGCCCGGCGAGCCCCCCGCGGACGCUAUCUGCCUGCCCAUCGGCGCGCGGAUCUGCGGUGGUAAAUGCUGCAUUCGAUGGCGGGCGCAUUUGUUGUGCGCGCUCUGAAAGGGCUGC
ensembl:lncRNA